UUUAUGUUAUACAAUAUAAUACUAAUAGUAAUACCAUAUAAUAAUAUUAAUUAUAUGUUAUAUAUUACAUAUUAUAUAAUAGUAUAGUGGUAUAGUUCAAUAUAGUAAUAUAUAAUGCUAAUAUUGGGUUAUGCUAAUAAUAUAAUACAUUUUAUGUACAUACAGCUGCUCAGAGUCCCCUUCGGGGUGAGAAUGGUGGGAUAUAAAUGUAGUAAAUAAAUGCAGUAAAUAAUUAAUUUUAGACUUAGGCUCGGCCAAAGUCUGACAUGACUUGAAGGCACACAACAACAACAACAAUCCUAAUUAACUUGACUAUCUCAUUGGCCAGUAGCAGGCCCACACUUUCCAUUGAAAUCCUAAUAGGUUUAUGUUGGUUAAAAUUGUUUUCAUUUUUAAAUAUUGUAUUGUUCUUUCAUUGUUGUUGUUGUUGUUGCACUACAAAUAAGACAUGUGCAGUAUGCAUAGGAAUUUGUUUGUAAUUUUUUUCCAAAUGAUAAUUCGGCCCCUCAACAGUCUGAAAGAUUGUGGACCGGCCCUCUGUUUAAAAAGUUUGGGGACCCCUGCCUUAGAGGCUCACUUCAGUUAAUAAUAAUAAUAACUUUAUUUUUAUACCCCACCUCAAUCUCCCCAAAGGGACCCGGGGCGGCUUACAUGGGGUAAAACCCAGGUAAAUACAAUAAACAAAAUAAAACACAUCAAAAGAAAAAAAAAUGCACAAUGAUAAAAUUUUACUCAUAAUAAAAUGGCAAGCUUAAUAAAACAUGAUUUAAACACCAAAAUAACAGUCAUAAAAACGAACUGGGCAAAGUGCACUGAGUGAGUUUUGUAAAUGCGAGAUAAUCAAUAAAGUGUUGCAAUUUGUGAGAGCAACUUGGGAUGGGGAUGGACCCUGUGGCUAUAUCAAGUUGACAAAGCAAGAAAAGUGCAACUGAUGAGGAAAUAGUCCCAGAUAAAAGAUAUGGGUGAUCCUUAGCACUUCUCCCUGAAGGCUAAUUAAACUUUUCCCUCAAAGAGGUUUCUCACUAAUAGUUCCCAAACUCUUCCUUCCUCUUCUAAACUCCACUACCUAACUCUUCAAAAACCAAAUCCUAUCUGACUAAUUCUCUGUUUGAAUAGCACUUAAAUCUCUCUGGCUCAGCCUGCCUCCUGUUGCUAAGCAACUCCCUCGAAUUUCAACAACCAAUCAGACUGUACUUCCAUAUGUCAAGCUGCCUGAUCAUUCCUCCCCCUGCCUGGCUUAGCUUUUCCAAGCAAGGCCUUGAUCUGCCUUUACCCACCAACCCUGCAAGUCUGCCUCCCGCCUGGAUCCACAGCUGUUUCUCUAGGCAGACACGGAUCACAGAUUUAAAAAAAUCUUCACAGGACUGAACUUUCUAUGGAUUUAACUUCUGACAAUGUUGUUACUAGAUCCAGAGUUGUGAAGUUCCAAAGAUUUAGAAGACUGGGAAUGGACCUAGGAGCAGCUGUACCCCUCCAAACUCUGUCAUGUCUAAAUUGUAUCAACUUAAUUAUUUCUGUGUAACUUGUAUUUUUCUUACUGUGUACUGUAUCAAUUUCUUAUAUGUUGUGUAUAAAAUGUUCCCUAUAGGUAUCAAAAUGUAACUGAAGGCAGCCACCUCCCCGUGACACUAUUUGCAUAAUCCCUUGGGAACAGGGACGUUGGCUAAAUCCCUCUAGCUAUUUCCCAAGUGAGAUAACUAUUGGAAUCGUUGUGUGUAUAUAGGAGCCGCAAUGGCGCAAUGACUUAAGCCCUUGUGAACUGCUGACCUGAAGGUUGGAUUGCUGACCUGUAGGUUGCCAGUUCGAAUCCAGGAGAUGGGGUGAGCUUCCGCCUGUCAGCUCUAGCUUGUGGGGGCAUGAGAGAAGCCUCCCAGUAACACAUCCGGAAAUCCCCUGGGCAACGCCUUUAUAGAUGGCCAAUUCUCUCACACCAGAAGUGACUUGCAGUAUGUUCUCAAGUCACUUCUGACACGAUAAAAAAUUCUGUGUAUAUAAAGAUAGAUGAUGUUCUUUACUAGUCAGAAAAGCUCAGGAUGUUUGUCCAUGUAACCUGCAGCUGAAAGUCUGCCACUCCUGCAAAGGCAGGGGCUUAGAAAAUGUGCAUACAUUAACUUUCUAUACUGACAGCCAAGUCCUUCAUUGCCUAAGAUCAACACCUUUGUCUUUUGGGCUUUGCACCUACGUUUCAAAUGAAAUUGGAUGUUUGAGUUAAUCAAAAACUCAUCAGCAUAUCUGUACUAUCUAAGCUGCAACCUCCCAGGCUCUUCACAUAGGCCAAUUCCCAGCUGCUGUCCUUCCUUCCUGUAGGUAGUGAUGUAAAAGGAACCUCCAGCUAAUUCCAGUGUGGAUCCUGGGCAGCCUCUUUUCCAACAAUCGGGAGGGACCAGGGUCUGACUAGCUGUCAAGACUGUAUAAGAUGUCAUUCAUUGUUCUGUAAGUUUAUGCUUGUACCUUUUAAACAAAUUGCUUGUACAUGGAUCCUUUUUGGCCAAGUAGUAAUAAUCUUUUGUGUCUUGUCUUCAGCCUUUUGAGUUUGUUUCUCUGCCCUGGCCUAUCUGGUUUAGCUUAGGCUUGCCAGGCACAGAUUCUCUAACCAUGGUCCUAGCUAAAUCACUACAGUACUAUAUAGUCCUUUGUCGAUCUCACAAAGGUCUUCUUACAUUAUUAUUAAUUUUUCUCUGAAACAGAAGAAAGUAAAAGAAUGGGGCAAAUAUUCUCAUACUACACAAACAUACAGUAGCCACUGUAGGAACGGGGGGAUAAAAUUAGGACUCAAAUUCUACUAACAAAUAUAUAGAGGAAGAGGAUUGUAACAAUGAUUAAGGGAGCAAACCAGAUUUGGCAGAUUGAAACUGUCUGUUUUAAUCAAAAUAUGUUUUAACAGUAUAAAUGACUCAGCUACUGAAUAAAUGAGAAAUAUGUCCACGAAUCUG